GACGAACGCUGGCGGCGUGCUUAACACAUGCAAGUCGAACGAGUGGCGAACGGGUGAGUAAUACGUGAGUAACCUGCCCUAUUUUUAGGAUAAGCAUUGGAAACGGGGUCUAAUACCGGAUAACGGGGGAUGGGCUCGCGGCCUAUCAGCUUGUUGGUGGGGUGAUGGCCUACCAAGGCGGUGCUGGGUAGACGGACUGAGAGGGUGACUGGCCACAGUGGCACGGAGCUACGUCCUACACGCGUACGGAGGGGAGCAUUGGGGGCGAUGGGACAAUGGGCGAAAGAGUGAUGCAGCGAUGUGGCGUGAGGUAUUCAGGUUUUCGAGUUGUUUACGUCUGUCGCAAGCGAACGGGUAGGUGCAGAAGAAGCACCGGCUAACUACGUGCCAGCAGCCGCGGUAAUAC
rnacentral:rRNA from 1 species